ensembl:lncRNA
UUAGGAUUUCUUCACAGAACAUUUUAUCUUGUAAGGGUAGAGGUCCAUCUGUAUUGCCCCUGCCAGCGGGGACUCAGUUAUUCGUGGGGGUUGAGGGGGGACCCAUACCUGCGGGAGAACGGGUGAGAAAGAGGAGCAAGACCAAGCAGUGUCCUUGUCAAGGUCUUAUUGGAGUUUAUUGGAGUUUAUCUGUUUAUUAAAUGCUGUGAAGUGUACAGCAUUUAAAGCUCUGAAGCAGGAACUGAAGCUUAGGGCGGGGGGAGUACUGGGAAGUACCCAAGGACAUAAGGUGAAUCGUUAAACAGCAAGAUGUUCUUCCUAGGCAAUGAGGCAACAGUCUUCCGGGAACAUGUUCUUUCUUUGAAAAGGUCAAGCCCUUCUCAGGAAUCUGCUCUUGACCUGCCCAGUCCGGCAGUCUGGUCCCGGACACUGUAUAAGAUCUUGUGUUUGGGACCUGGAUAUGAAAGCCUCAGAGAAGUGGCAGACUACAGCCUAAUGCUUUAAACAACCCUAUUUCAGUUUCAAGACAGCGCCAAGCGAUGGGCAUCUCUCG